rnacentral:rRNA from 1 species
CAGGCCUAAUACAUGCAAGUCGAACGCACCUUCGGGUGAGUGGCGGACGGGUGAGUAACACGUGGGAACGUGCCCUUUGGUUCGGAAUAAUCCGGGGAAACCUGGCCUAAUACCGGAUGUGCCCUUCGGGGGAAAGAUUUAUCGCCAUUGGAGCGGCCCGCGUCUGAUUAGCUGGUUGGUGGGGUAAAGGCCCACCAAGGCGACGAUCAGUAGCUGGCCUGAGAGGGCGACCGGCCACACUGGGACUGAGACACGGCCCAGACUCCUACGGGAGGCAGCAGUGGGGAAUAUUGCGCAAUGGGGGAAACCCUGACGCAGCGACGCCGCGUGCGGGAUGAAGGCCUUCGGGUUGUAAACCGCUUUCACCAGGGACGAAGCGAGAGUGACGGUACCUGGGGAAGAAGCCCCGGCUAACUACGUGCCAGCAGCCGCGGUAAGACGUAGGGGGCCAGCGUUGUUCGGAAUUACUGGGUGUAAAGGGUUCGUAGGCGGUGUGGCAAGUUGGGAGUGAAAUCUCUGGGCUCAACCCAGAGGCUGCUUCCAAAACUGCCGUGCUUGAGUGUGAGAGAGGCUCGUGGAAUUGCAGGUGUAGCGGUGAAAUGCGUAGAUAUCUGCAGGAACACCCGUGGCGAAAGCGGCGAGCUGGAUCACUACUGACGCUGAGGAACGAAAGCUAGGGGAGCAAACAGGAUUAGAAACCCUGGUAGUCCUAGCCCUAAACGAUCAGGAC